CGUACACCCCUACGGGAGGCAGCAGUGGGGAAUAUUGCACAAUGGGCGCAAGCCUGAUGCAGCCAUGCCGCGUGUGUGAAGAAGGCCUUCGGGUUGUAAAGCACUUUCAGCGGGGAGGAAGGCAAUGCGGUUAAUAACCGUGUUGAUUGACGUUACCCGCAGAAGAAGCACCGGCUAACUCCGUGCCAGCAGCCGCGGUAAUACGGAGGGUGCAAGCGUUAAUCGGAAUUACUGGGCGUAAAGCGCACGCAGGCGGUCUGUCAAGUCGGAUGUGAAAUCCCCGGGCUCAACCUGGGAACUGCAUUCGAAACUGGCAGGCUUGAGUCUUGUAGAGGGGGGUAGAAUUCCAGGUGUAGCGGUGAAAUGCGUAGAGAUCUGGAGGAAUACCGGUGGCGAAGGCGGCCCCCUGGACAAAGACUGACGCUCAGGUGCGAAAGCGUGGGGAGCAAACAGGAUUAGAAACCCUUGUAGUCCCAUGA
rnacentral:rRNA from 1 species